rnacentral:tRNA from 1 species
AAGACCACUAAGUAGGGCUGCUAACCAUACAUCAAUGAAAAUCAUUUGGUCUUU